AGAGUUUGUUCCUGGCUCAGGAUGAACGCUAGCGGCAGGCUUAACACAUGCAAGUCGAGGGGCAGCGGGGAGGAAGCUUGCUUUCUCCGCCGGCGACCGGCGCACGGGUGAGUAACACGUAUGCAACCUGCCCCUGUCAGGGGGACAACCCGCCGAAAGGCGGGCUAAACCCGCGUACAUGCCACCGGGGCAUCCCGGAGGCAGGAAAGGCUUCGGCCGGACAGGGAUGGGCAUGCGGCGCAUUAGGCAGUAGGCGGGGUAACGGCCCACCUAACCGACGAUGCGUAGGGGUUCUGAGAGGAAGGUCCCCCACACUGGUACUGAGACACGGACCAGACUCCUACGGGAGGCAGCAGUGAGGAAUAUUGGUCAAUGGUCGGGAGACUGAACCAGCCAAGCCGCGUGAGGGAUGAGGGUACAGAGUAUCGUAAACCUCUUUUGUCAGGGAACAAAGGCGGGGACGCGUCCCCGGAUGAGUGUACCUGAAGAAAAAGCAUCGGCUAACUCCGUGCCAGCAGCCGCGGUAAUACGGAGGAUGCGAGCGUUAUCCGGAUUUAUUGGGUUUAAAGGGUGCGCAGGCGGUCUGUUAAGUCAGCGGUCAAAGCCCGGGGCUCAACCCCGGCCCGCCGUUGAAACUGGCAGUCUCGAGUUGGAGAGAAGUAUGCGGAAUGCGCGGUGUAGCGGUGAAAUGCAUAGAUAUCGCGCAGAACUCCGAUUGCGAAGGCAGCAUGCCGGCUCCACACUGACGCUGAGGCACGAAAGCGUGGGUAUCGAACAGGAUUAGAUACCCUGGUAGUCCACGCAGUAAACGAUGAAUGCUGGCUGUCCGGGGGGACUGACCCCUGGGUGGCGAAGCGAAAGCGAUAAGCAUUCCACCUGGGGAGUACGCCGGCAACGGUGAAACUCAAAGGAAUUGACGGGGGUCCGCACAAGCGGAGGAACAUGUGGUUUAAUUCGAUGAUACGCGAGGAACCUUACCCGGGCUCAAACGGGGAGUGGCGCAGGCAGAGACGCCUGUUUCCCACGGGACACUCCCCGAGGUGCUGCAUGGUUGUCGUCAGCUCGUGCCGUGAGGUGUCGGCUUAAGUGCCAUAACGAGCGCAACCCCCGCGUGCAGUUGCUAACAGUCAACGCUGAGGACUCUGCACGGACUGCCGGCGCAAGCCGCGAGGAAGGCGGGGAUGACGUCAAAUCAGCACGGCCCUUACGUCCGGGGCGACACACGUGUUACAAUGGGUGGUACAGCGGGAAGCCAGGCGGCGACGCCGAGCGGAACCCGAAAUCCACUCUCAGUUCGGAUCGGAGUCUGCAACCCGACUCCGUGAAGCUGGAUUCGCUAGUAAUCGCGCAUCAGCCAUGGCGCGGUGAAUACGUUCCCGGGCCUUGCACACACCGCCCGUCA
rnacentral:rRNA from 1 species